ensembl:miRNA Gm26340 predicted gene, 26340
GGACCAAAUGCCCAGCACUUACAUGGUGGCUUGAAACUGUACCUCCGGGCUGGAGAGAUGGCUCAGCCGUUAAAGGCUAGGCUCACAACCAAAAAUAUA